rnacentral:rRNA from 1 species
GGGCCCGCACAAGCGGUGGAGCAUGUGGUUUAAUUCGAUGAUACGCGAGGAACCUUACCAGGGUUUAAAUGCAGAACGACAGGGGUGGAAACACCCCCUUCUUCGGACGGACUGCAAGGUGCUGCAUGGUUGUCGUCAGCUCGUGCUGUGAAGUGUCGGGUUAAGUCCCAUAACGAGCGCAACCCCCAUUUCUAGUUGCCAGCGGUUCGGCCGGGGACUCUAGAGAAACUGCCAGCGUAAGCUGUGAGGAAGGUGGGGAUGACGUCAAAUCAUCACGGCCCUUACAUCCUGGGCCACACACGUGCUACAAUGGUAGGGACAACAGGUUGCCAACCCGCGAGGGUGAGCCAAUCCCAAAACCCUAUCUCAGUUCGGAUCGGAGUCUGCAACUCGACUCCGUG